CGGGUCAAGUCCCCUGGAACGGGGCGCCCUAGAGGGUGAGAGCCCCGUACCCGCCUGGGUGUCCUUCGCCGUGUGAAGCUCCUUCGACGAGUCGAGUUGUUUGGGAAUGCAGCUCUAAGCGGGAGGUAAAUUCCUUCUAAAGCUAAAUAUAGGCCAGAGACCGAUAGCGCACAAGUAGAGUGAUCGAAAGAUGAAAAGCACUUUGGAAAGAGAGUUAAAAAGCACGUGAAAUUGUUGAAAGGGAAGCUCUUGCUGCCAGACUUGCCGCGGUUGCUCAGCCGCCCUCCGGGGCGGUGUACUCUCCCGUCGGCAGGCCAGCGUCGGUUCGGGCGGCCGGAUAAAGGCCCCGGGAAUGUAGCACCCCCCGGGGUGUGUUAUAGCCAGGGGUGUAAUGCGGUCAGCCCGGUCCGAGGGAUGCGUUCGCGAGGACGCUGGCGUAAUGGCCGUAAGCGACCCGUCUUGAAACACGGACCAAGGAGUCUAACAUCUGUGCGAGUGUUUGGGCGUCAAACCCAUACGCGCAAUGAAAGUGAACGGAGGUGGGAACCCCCCCGAGGGGUGCACCAUCGACCGAUCCUGAUGUCUUCGGAUGGAUUUGAGUAAGAGCAUAGCUGUUGGGACCCGAAAGAUGGUGAACUAUUCCCGGAUAGGGUGAAGCCAGAGGAAACUCUGGUGGAGGCUCGCAGCGGUUCUGACGUGCAAAUCGAUCGUCAAAUCUAGGAAUAGGGGCGAAAGACUAAUCGAACCAU
rnacentral:rRNA from 1 species